rnacentral:rRNA from 1 species
UACGGAGGGUGCAAGCAUUGAUCGGAAUUACUGGGCGUAAAGGGCGCGUAGGCGGCCGAGAAAGUCAGAUGUGAAAUUCCGGGGCUCAACCCCGGAGCUGCAUUUGAAACUUCUUGGCUAGAGGAUGAUUAGGGAAAACGGAAUUCCACGUGUAGCGGUGAAAUGCGUAGAUAUGUGGAAGAACACCAGUGGUGAAGACGGUUUUCUGGGUCAAACCUGACGCUGAGGCGCGAAAGCUAGGGGAGCAAACAGG